AGAGCCGAAGAGCAACCCGUGUCGCGGUUUCAUUGGCUGUGGCAUGAGUCACCGUUAAGUCACAGACCAUCUGUUUUCUCCCGCUGAGUCGCGAUUUCCGGUCCCGUUCUCUGGUGUACGUUUCCAGGUUUACGAACGCAGUAUAUUCUUCUGAAGAAAGUUUGUUCCACUUGAGACUGAAGCCCUCAGUAGAGACAAGGAAAACCUGAAACGCCCAAAAUGGGAGGAAUUUAUGUCUGUACUUGACACCGAGAUUUGUUGUCGAUGUGGCCCCGGGUGUGCGAGAUGGUGAAAAAAAAAGUGAGCGAACCGCUUCCUCCGGUAGUCCAUUCCUCGUCGUGAAGCAGCCUCUUCACCGUAUACCUCCUAAGAUGCAGUGUGUGUGUUGGUAUUAGACGAAAUCCACAUUCUGGGAGAGAUUUUUCUGCUACUGCCCUCCAACGGGUGCGAGAGGAGACUCUUGGGUAACUUCAGUUUCUCUAAUUUAAGAGAUGAUAUUGCUCCAGAUAAAAAAGGAGGCUAUACUGUCGUAAAUAAGAGAUAUUGUUUUUAUCGUUUCCUUCGAGCCAAGUAGUUGAAAUUGUAUUUUCUAGCCCUUUCCGUACUUCGAGGUGUGUAGUCGAGCAACACGGGACACCGCAGUGUGGGGAUGCAGUCGCAGUCCCGUUAUUCUGAUUCCCAGAAUGUCGUUGCAGAUAUAGAGUCCCCCCCUUUUCUCGAACGAAUCGGACAACACUUCAGUUUCCAUGUCGGCAACAAGUAGGAGUCGGUCUAUGCGCGAUUCCACCGGAGACCUCCGUGGCGUCUCGUUUUCGAGAUGGACACCCGAGAAAGCAAGUAGAAGGUGCCAGCAGCCACAUGCACUGCUGCUACUCCCAGGACGCCUGAACCCUUAUGAGAGACAGUUCUCGUCCAUUCGGCUGCUUUUCCUGGCUGCAAAAAAUCGAUACCCUACUGAUUUCUGCAUAUGCAAUCGAUGCAUAAAAGCCUGAGCAUACAAUGUAAGUAAUCUCUUCUUCGCUCGCGACGCACGCCACAACCAAGAGCGGAC
rnacentral:lncRNA from 1 species